GGUAGUGUGGCCGAGCGGUCUAAGGCGCUGGAUUAGGGCUCCAGUCUCGACAGGGGCGUAGGUUCGAAUCCCACCGCUGCCA